rnacentral:rRNA from 1 species
GAUGAACGCUGGCGGCGUGCCUAAUACAUGCAAGUCGAGCGAACAGAUGAGGAGCUUGCUCCUCUGACGUUAGCGGCGGACGGGUGAGUAACACGUGGAUAACCUACCUAUAAGACUUGGAUAACUUCGUGAAACCGGAGCUAAUACCGGAUAAUAUAUUGAACCGCAUGGUUCAAUAGUGAAAGACGGUUUUGCUGUCACUUAUAGAUGGAUCCGCGCCGCAUUAGCUAGUUGGUAAGGUAACGGCUUACCAAGGCAACGAUGCGUAGCCGACCUGAGAGGGUGAUCGGCCACACUGGAACUGAGACACGGUCCAGACUCCUACGGGAGGCAGCAGUAGGGAAUAUUCCGCAAUGGGCGAAAGCCUGACGGAGCAACGCCGCGUGAGUGAUGAAGGUCUUCGGAUCGUAAAACUCUGUUAUUAGGGAAGAACAAAUGUGUAAGUAACUAUGCACGACUUGACGGUACCUAAUCAGAAAGCCACGGCUAACUACGUG